rnacentral:rRNA from 1 species
GAGUUUGAUCAUGGCUCAGAUUGAACGCUGGCGGCAUGCCUUACACAUGCAAGUCGAGCGGCAGCGCGGGGGCAACCCUGGCGGCGAGCGGCGAACGGGUGGGUAAUACAUCGGAACGUGUCCUGUCGUGGGGGAUAACCAGUCGAAAGAUUGGCUAAUACCGCAUGACCUCGUAAGAGAAAAGCGGGGGACCGUAAGGCCUCGCGCGACUGGAGCGGCCGAUGUCGGAUUAGCUAGUUGGCGGGGUAAAAGCCCACCAAGGCGACGAUCCGUAGCUGGUUUGAGAGAACGACCAGCCACACUGGGACUGAGACACGGCCCAGACUCCUACGGGAGGCAGCAGUGGGGAAUUUUGGACAAUGGGGGCAACCCUGAUCCAGCCAUGCCGCGUGUGUGAAGAAGGCCUUCGGUUGUAAG